GACAACGCUGGCGGCGUGCCUAACACAUGCAAGUCGAACGGAAGUAGAGACUUCGGGUUUUUACUUUAGUGGCGAACGGGUGAGUAACGCGUGAGGAACCUACCUUUCAGUGGGGGACAACAGUUGGAAACGACUGCUAAUACCGCAUGAUACUUUUUGGGGGCAUCCCUGGAAAGUCAAAGCUUUAUGUGCUGAAAGAUGGCCUCGCGUCUGAUUAGCUAGUUGGUGAGGUAACGGCUCACCAAGGCGACGAUCAGUAGCCGGUCUGAGAGGAUGAACGGCCACAUUGGGACUGAGAUACGGCCCCAGACUCCUACGGGAGGCAGCAGUGGGGAAUAUUGCACAAUGGGGGAAACCCUGAUGCAGCAACGCCGCGUGAGUGAUGAAGUAUCUCGGUAUGUAAAACUCUAUCAGCAGGGAAGAAAAUGACGGUACCUGACUAAGAAGCCCCGGCUAACUACGUG
rnacentral:rRNA from 1 species